AUGCACGCUGGCGGCGUGCCUAAUCCCUGCCAGUCGCGCGAACAGACGAGGAGCUUGCUCCUCUGACGUUAGCGGCGGACGGGUGAGUAACACGUGGAUAACCUACCUAUAAGACUGGGAUAACUUUGGGAAACCGGAGCUAAUACCGGAUAAUAUAUUGAACCGCAUGGUUCAAUAGUGAAAGACGGUUUUGCUGUCACUUAUAGAUGGAUCCGCGCCGCAUUAGCUAGUUGGUAAGGUAACGGCUUACCAAGGCGACGAUGCGUAGCCGACCUGAGAGGGUGAUCGGCCACACUGGAACUGAGACACGGUCCAGACUCCUACGGGAGGCAGCAGUAGGGAAUCUUCCGCAAUGGGCGAAAGCCUGACGGAGCAACGCCGCGUGAGUGAUGAAGGUCUUCGGAUCGUAAAACUCUGUUAUUAGGGAAGAACAAAUGUGUAAGUAACUAUGCACGUCUUGACGGUACCUAAUCAGAAAGCCACGGCUAACUACGUG
rnacentral:rRNA from 1 species